rnacentral:tRNA from 2 species
GGCCAGGUAGCUCAGUCGGUAGAGCAGUGGACUGAAAAUCCUCGUGUCGGUGGUUCGAUUCCGCCCCUGGCCACCU